rnacentral:rRNA from 1 species
UACGUAGGGUGCGAGCGUUAAUCGGAAUUACUGGGCGUAAAGUGUGCGCAGGCGGCCGCGCAAGUCGAGUGUGAAAGCCCCGGGCUUAACUUGGGAAUUGCGCUCGAAACUACGUGGCUGGAGUGUGGCAGAGGAAGGUGGAAUUCCACGUGUAGCGGUGAAAUGCGUAGAGAUGUGGAGGAACACCAAUGGCGAAGCAGC